UUUUUUCCUUUCCUUCUUAGUUGGUGGCUUGCGCUUGUCUAAGACAGCCUUAUUGUCCAAAAAUGUUUCCCCUUAAUGUAGCUCCAAUUAAUUGUCAUACAAUAUGGUGAAGGUUCAUGGUUCCUUACAAGAAGUGAGUUGCUUUGUUCUUUGAAGAGGAAAUCUGUUUUCUAUAAAUUCUAUAGAAUAGCAUAGUUUGAUUUCUUUACUAAUGUACUUUACAUUUGGUUUUCUUUUCAUUCGUAUUAUUCUUGCCUUGUGUGCUUGAGUGUUGUAUAUUCAUCUUGACUGCAAGCAUUUUGUCUUUUGAUCUUCUUACAUGUGAUUAUAAUUUUUUGAAUUUUCUGUGACUUUUACUGAUCUUUAAUAGUUUAAUUAGGAGAAAAUUGUUUUCUGAGAACUUUUAUUAUGCUCUACUUUCUACAGAAAUUGGGCAUAAUAAAAAAAUACAAAAAAAAACCAAAAUUGUUCAAAAAGUUCUGAAUUUUGGUUUUCUAAAAUCCUCUACUACUGUAGAGUAAAAAAAAUCCUUAGUUUUGGUUUCAACUAUUUACAUUAUAAUGUCUUUUAACCCAAAUUUGUGAACCUGUCAGAAAUCAAAAAGUCUGCCUCUGUUCUAUGUCCGAACACUUUUUUACUUUUGCUUUCUGCAGACAGCCUUACAUUCAGAGUCUAAUAGUGUCCAAUCCCAUUGUUGUCAUUAUCAUUUCCCUAAUGGUUUUACAAAAGCUGCUGAAUAGGACUGGUUUAUCCUGGGCUUCGAUCAAGGAAAGGGAAGAGCCUAACCUAAACCUCUUGCAAAACUUUCAAUCAGUUGAUGACCUAACAUUUAUGAGAACUCGUCACCGUUAAACCAACUUUUUAUGUAGAAUAUCAUACUUUUAUAGGAGAGUUGGUGAAGUUUGUUCUUCUACCCAUCUUAUUUUCCAUUUACCCAUCCUGUUUAGGGAGUGGAGUUCUGCCUCCUGGUGAUAUACCAUUUGAUGUCAAGAACUUUUGUAAAAGAAAAAGUUUUUAAUUUUGUUUAAAACAUUUUAAAAAUGUCUUCUCUCACAAUGAUAUGUCUUUGCUUUACUCUUGGUAUCUUUCCAAGUAGGAGAGAAUUUCAAGUUUUUGUUGUCAAUCAAUGGAAGAGGAUAGCUGAAAAAAUCUUAGAUCUGAACAAUAAGAAAAACUCCAAUGAAGCUUGAGGAAGUCAAGAAUAGGAAAUGCUAUUGACUCUUGUGUUCAAACAUUUGCAAUUAACAUGAAAAUAUACUGAGAGAAAAGCCUAGGUAGCAAAAUGUGAGUUGAGGGAUGGGCUCGGGGCUUGUGUAGUUGUUCCUCUGCGUCAGUAAUCGAGAGUACCGAGUAGACAUAAAGUUGAUUUAUGUCUAUUUCGCGAAGAUAAUGACUUAUGAACUUUUGGCUCGUUGAAAACCCGUAAGGUGAAGCGGGUUCGACACGUGACAAAGCUACACUUAACCACCAAACCGGUGGAGCUUCGUAGUAGCCUUUGAGGUGGUGAGGUAUUCCUUCAAAGGUGAAGGUCGGCCUGAAAAAAAAAUGAAAGGAAAAGAAAAAUCAAAAGGGAAAAAGCUCAAUGCAAAAGAAAGAAAAACAAAAAAAAAAAAACCGAGAGAAAAAAACGAAAGGUGCCUGCCAAGAGAUGAAAGACAUUGAGGCUGAACUCGUAAGAAUUGAAUGUGACAAUCUAUCGUGGAUGUGAAAUUUUGGGGUCAAUAUCUGCUCCUUUUUUUGAUUACCGAAGAUGUCGAGGAUGAUUUCUUUAUGUUCACAUUUUGGAAAUUGGAAGAUAUCCCUUCUAGAGGUUCGACGACACUGAUGCGAAAUGAAUCCUAAUGCUUGUACGGUACUUUGGGCAAAUGAAUGACAUAUUAUUUGCACAACAUGAGCACUCAAACUUAUGAAUUAAAGUGAUAAUUUUGAACAAUUUCAAAGUAAAAACUUGACAUCUCUUGUUAUGUUUCGAGGUUUUCUAGGCAUAAGAGGAACUAACCAAUCCCCUUUGGUCUUGAAGGGUGUUUGCCAUUUCAUUAACAAACCAUUGGUCCGCUCAUAGAAUAGAUGAAACUCCUCAAACCUAGUCCACUUAUGUUGAAUGUGACAAUUUGUCCAUCUUUCUUCUAUCUUAGGAGAGGCAGAUCAUUUGGGAACCUGACCCAUUAUUCCAUCUUAACCGAGUGUAUUCAGCCCAUUGAAUUGUCUUCAACCUGUAUUUCAAUGACAACCUAGACUUAGGGUUGAGGAUAUCAUGGAUGGAAUAUUUCUUAUCUGUUUUCAAAAGUACUGGUUCAGUUUUGAACUAUGACAUUUUUGAAAAGUUCUAUCCUUUUGAAGUUGCAUGAGUUUUGUUUUUGGCUUCAUCUAAUAUUUGUCUUGGCUUGCAAUACAUGGUUUUUCAAAAUGGGGGUGGAGUUAUUCUUCAUUGUCACCAACUACCCACCCAUGCCUUUGCUUCAACAGCUGGGUCCUUCAUAGUUUUGGACCAGGUGGGGCAUUUGCAUUGUACUCUCUGAUAUGUAAACAAGCAUGUAAAGCUCUGUUUUCUCCAAACCAAUUGUCAUCUGAUGCUCAAGUUCAACUGAAGGUGCCACCUCCACAGCUUGGGAUGUCAAUAACGAUUAAAGAAUGGAAGUAUAUAUGCAUCAUUGUCACUGAAAAGGAUGUUCUCGUGUUUCUUCUUGUUGGUACUUCUAUGUUUUGACAUAAGUGUCCGCUGUCUUUUGAUGUCAUUGUUGAAUUUCUCCAAGAUAGUAAGGGUUCAGGUAGUUUGUCAUAUAGGAUUUUAAUGCUGUUACUAUGUUCUAAUUUCUCUUUGUUUUUGACUUUUUUUUAUGGAACAGACAAUUGCUGUACAGAUUACCACAAUUAUGUUGUGCCUAUAAAAUAUUUCUUUCCUCCAAAAUUUCGCACAUUUGAUGUAGGUUUGCAGAGUUCAAGCUGGACUUUGGCAAGUUCUUGUAUGAAAACCUGUAUUAUAGCAUUUUUUUCCUUGUACACAUGUGAAAAUCUAAUUGUAAAGGAAAAGGAAGAAAUUGAAGAAACUUGACAAAGUGACUUAAAGUAGAAGAGACCAUAUUUUCCAUAUAGGAUGUAUGCACUAGUAGAAGCAAAUUCAUGUUCUUUCUUAGAAAUGAUAUGUGCCUCAUAGGGAGAGUUACUUAUGCAAGUUUUUUGUCCAUGCAGUUGUUUGCCACAACAUCUCUUUUCUUAGCUGCAAAGUCAGAGGGUCUCCUCAUCUCCUAAACACUAUUCUGAAGGCUGCUUUUGAAAAUUGCCAUAAGACAACUUUUCAUUUUCCUCCUAUUUUCUUUUUGCUGUGAGCAUCUGUCGCUUUGGCCUGUUGAAACGAUGCUGCAACAGAAGAUGCCAAAUAUUAUGAGCUGUUUGGCCGUCAUCUUGAUCAAAAGAGAAACAAAUUAUGAAUCACAAAUGUCAUCUUGAUCAAAAGGGAAACAAAUUAUGAAGCACAAGUGUGGAGCAAAUUGCUGGCAAACUGAUGAUAUAGACUUGCUGUCACUUUUUUUGUUAUAUUCUCAAGUCUUUUGAGAUUUUUCUUAUUUUAUUUAUUCUUUGACAAAAGUAAAUAAUAUUUGUUUCUAAGCCCAACUGAUUGAGUCGUUGAAUCAGCCAAUUCACCAAAUGGGCACCCUAACCAGUUUGAUUCACAGUGAGGUUUUUAUAACACUGAUUAAGACUGUUGUUGACAGGAAAUACAUUGGUAUACAUACCAAAACUGGUUUGGAGCACGAGGAGCAAGUCAUUGAUGCUGUUACACUGACAGACUGGACUUUGUGUGUGGUAUUCAGCCUGUAUGUGUUCCACUUACCUCAGUUCUUAAUAAGCUGUGGAUUGGACAAAUGUUCUUGUGAAUUUGGCUUGGAAAAUGGGAAACUUAUUAAUCCCAUUAGGCUAUGUUCUCCUGUCUUGUUUUUCUUUGCAUGACUAUGACUAGGAUUAAAAGUCUUCUUUAUAGCCAUGUAUUUUUGUAAUCUACUUUCAUAGCAAUAGUGUCUUGUUUAUUGAGUGUAAUAAUGGUAAAUUUGUCUGUUGGUGCAAGGUUGUAGAUUCAAUCUAAGAUGAUAAGUUUUAAGUACUUUCUUUACAGUUAUGUAA